GGGAAUCUAACACCGUAUAAAUAAUAGUGAACUUACUGCCUUGUUGAUAAACUGUGCUGAAGAGAUUGCAAUGAAGUUUUUUUACAUUAUUUUAAUUAUUGCGAUAACUCUUGUUGCCAGCAAUGUAGGUGCUAUAGAUUAUUACUGCGAGCAGGCUAGGGACUGUAUCACUCCAUGUUACGCAUCCUGUCGAACCGUGUCUAGUACGCUUUGCUAUAAAAACACAUGCUACUGUGGGUAGUAUAAGAAAAAAAAUAUAUGGUUGUAAUUAU